GAUGAACGCUGGCGGCGUGCCUAACACAUGCAAGUCGAACGGACAGACGAUGAGCGCAUGCUGCUCGCGUUGGCGACGGACGGGUGAGUAACGCGUGGAUAACCCACUACUUUGACUUGGGUAACUUCGACAGGCCGGAGCUAAUACUAGCACAUAGAUGCAACCGGUGGGUUCAAUAGAUAAAGAUGGGUUUGGUGUCAGUUAGAGACGGAUCCGCGCCGCAUUAGCUAGUUGGUAAGGUAACGGCUCACCAAGGGAACGACGCGUAGCCGACCUGAGAGGGUAGUCGGCCACACUGGAACUGCGACACGGUCCAGACUCCUACGGGAGGCAGCAGUAGGGAAUAUUCCGCAAUGGGCGAAAGCCUGACGGAGCAACACCGCGUGGGUGAUGAAGGCCUUCGGGUGGUAAAGCUCUUUUGUUUGGAAAGAACAAAUGUGUAUGAAGAUGCGCAUGUCUUGACGGUACCUAAAGAAGAAGCACCGGCUAACUACGUG
rnacentral:rRNA from 1 species